AUUGAACGCUGGCGGCAGGCUUAACACAUGCAAGUCGAGCGAGCGGCGGACGGGUGAGUAAUGUCUGGGAAACUGCCUGAUGGAGGGGGAUAACUACUGGAAACGGUAGCUAAUACCGCAUACCAUCAGAUGUGCCCAGAUGGGAUUAGCUAGUCGGGGGGGUAAUGGCCCACCUAGGGGACGAUCCCUAGCUGGUCUGAGAGGAUGACCAGCCACACUGGAACUGGGAAACGGUCCAGAAUCCUACGGGAGGCAGCAGUGGGGAAUAUUGGACAAUGGGCGCAAGCCUGAUGCAGCCAUGCCGCGUGUGUGAAGAAGGCCUUCGGGUUGUAAAGCACUUUUAGCGAGGAGGCGUUACCUGCAGAAGAAGCACCGGCUAACUCCGUGCCAGCAGCCGCGGUAAUAC
rnacentral:rRNA from 1 species